UACGAAGGGGGCUAGCGUUGUUCGGAUUUACUGGGCGUAAAGCGCACGUAGGCGGAUUGUUAAGUCAGGGGUGAAAUCCCGGAGCUCAACUCCGGAACUGCCUUUGAUACUGGCAAUCUUGAGACUGGAAGAGGUCAGUGGAAUUCCCAGUGUAGAGGUGAAAUUCGUAGAUAUUGGGAAGAACACCAGUGGCGAAGGCGGCCAUCUGGGAGGCGACUGACGCUGAGACGCGAAAGCGUGGGGAGCAAACAGG
rnacentral:rRNA from 1 species